rnacentral:tRNA from 1 species
GGGGGUAUGUAACCGUACUGAUUGGGAGAGCGCUUGAAUGGCAUUCAAGAGGUCAGCGGUUCGAUCCCGCUUAUCUCCACCA